rnacentral:misc_RNA from 1 species
CCCAUUUGGGUACAUUUACAAGUUUCCUAUGAAAUCUACCUAAAAUACUGCCUUCCCUAUGAACUCUUGUUUACACAAGAAAAAUAGCAGGCUUAUACACUUCAUCCUUAUCUUCAGUAAGUUGACUCUCUGAUCUUCAAAGCACCUAUCAUUCCUUUCUCUCCUUAAGUUCCACCAUAUACUCCUUUCUCUCCUUAAGUUCCACCAUAUAC